UCCGUAGGUGAACCUGCGGAAGGAUCAUUGCAAAUCAUAGUGGGGGACGAGUAUUCGUCCCUCUACAUACGCACAGCACCGUCAGGUGCUGAUGUAUACGCUUGCUUGUUUGACAAAAUAACAUAAUUAUUGAUAAUGACAACUUUUAACAAUGGAUCUCUUGGCUCUUGCAACGAUGAAGAACGCAGUAAAGUGCGAUAUGUAGUGCAAUUUGCAUGAAUCUGUGAGUCAUCUAAUCUUUGAACGCAACUUGCGCCGGGAUCCGGCAUGUUUGUUCGAGGGCCGCAAUAAAGAAUAAUGCGUGAGCAUGAAGUGACCUUUGUCUGAUGAGGACUGGGUUGAAACAGAGUCAGUAAAUGGCAGUAGUGUGUCGAGCCGAGUGCUAAGCAUUCUUGGCUCAACCACACUCAACCAUACCAACCAAUCUACUCUCUGGCCUCGAAUCAAGCAAGAUUACCCGCUGAACUUAA
rnacentral:rRNA from 1 species